rnacentral:tRNA from 1 species
GGUUGAGUACUUUAUUAAAAGAGCUAACUUGCACUUAGCAAUAGAGCAGCCAUGCUCCUCAGCUCACAAA